CCUACGGGUGGCAGCAGUGGGGAAUAUUGGUCAAUGGACGAGAGUCUGAACCAGCCAAGUAGCGUGAAGGAUGACUGCUCUAUGGGUUGUAAACUUCUUUUAUAUGGGAAUAAAAUGUUCCACGUGUGGGAUUUUGUAUGUACCAUAUGAAUAAGGAUCGGCUAACUCCGUGCCAGCAGCCGCGGUAAUCCGGAGGGUCCGAGCGUUAUCCGGAUUUAUUGGGUUUAAAGGGAGCGUAGGUGGAUUGUUAAGUCAGUUGUGAAAGUUUGGGGCUCAACCGUAAAAUUGCAGUUGAAACUGGCAGUCUUGAGUACAGGAGAGGUAGGCGGAAUUCGUGGUGUAGCGGUGAAAUGCGUAGAUAUCACGAAGAACACCGAUGGCGAAGGCAGCUUACUGGACUGCAACUGACACUGAGGCUCGAAAGUGUGGGUAGCAAACAGGAUUAGAUACCCUUGUAGUC
rnacentral:rRNA from 1 species